rnacentral:tRNA from 1 species
GAUAAAACAUAAGCAAAGUAGUAAUAUUACUAUACCAAACAAUAAUAGUAAUCAG